AGCAGCCGCGGUAAUUCCAGCUCCAAUAGCGUAUAUUAAAGUUGUUGCAGUUAAAAAGCUCGUAGUUGAAUUUCGGGGUCAGUAGGUUGGUCGUGCCACUGGUAUGCACUGGUCUCACUGAUUCCUCCUUCCUGAUGAACCGUAAUGCCAUUAAUUUGGUGUUGCGGGGAGUCUGGACUGUUACUUUGAAAAAAUUAGAGUGUUUAAAGCAGGCUAACGCUUGAAUACAUUAGCAUGGAAUAAUGAAAUAGGACGAUCGAUCCUAUUUUGUUGGUUUCUAGGAUUGACGUAAUGAUUAAUAGGGAUAGUUGGGGGCAUUAGUAUUCAAUUGUCAGAGGUGAAAUUCUUGGAUUUAUUGAAGACUAACUACUGCGAAAGCAUUUGCCAAGGAUGUUUUCAUUAAUCAAGACGAAAGUUAGGGGAUCGAAGACGAUCAGAUACCGUCGUAGUCUUAACCAUAAACUAUGCCGACUAGGGAUCGGAUGAUGUUAAUUUUUUAAUGA
rnacentral:rRNA from 1 species